AUGAGCGCCAUGAGCCGGCGCAGCUGGCCGAGCGAGACGUGCUGGUUGAUGCGCAGGCGGCGGAGGCGCGGCGAGCGCGCCACGAGAGCCUCGAGGGCGGCGAAGGGUACCUGCGGGGUGAAGCACUCGAAGGAGAGAGACUCCAGGUCGGUGUGGCCGCGCGGAAACGCCGCCACCCAGUCCGACACCUCGUCGUCCUCCUCCUCGUUGAGCUCGCAGUCCACCACGUCGAGCACACGCAGCCCUCUGCGCGAGAACCAAACCAAACCAAAUGGAGGUACGCCAUUAUUAGUCCGCCAUUACCAAGUAGUGUGUGAGAGGGACAUGUAG
rnacentral:rRNA from 1 species